rnacentral:rRNA from 1 species
AUUGAACGCUGGCGGCAGGCCUAACACAUGCAAGUCGAACGGCAGCACAGAAGAGCUUGCUCUUUGGGUGGCGAGUGGCGGACGGGUGAGUAAUGUCUGGGAAACUGCCCGAUGGAGGGGGAUAACUACUGGAAACGGUAGCUAAUACCGCAUAACGUCGCGAGACCAAAGUGGGGGACCUUCGGGCCUCACACCAUCGGAUGUGCCCAGAUGGGAUUAGCUAGUAGGUGGGGUAAUGGCCCACCUAGGCGACGAUCCCUAGCUGGUUUGAGAGGAUGACCAGCCACACUGGAACUGAGACACGGUCCAGACUCCUACGGGAGGCAGCAGUGGGGAAUAUUGCACAAUGGGCGCAAGCCUGAUGCAGCCAUGCCGCGUGUAUGAAGAAGGCCUUCGGGUUGUAAAGUACUUUCAGCGGGGAGGAGGGCGGUGAGGUUAAUAACCUCGCCGAUUGACGUUACCCGCAGAAGAAGCACCGGCUAACUCCGUGCCAGCCGCCGCCGUAA